CUUAUCCAUUAAAAUAACGUGUGCAUAAUCAAAAUCCGGAUUAUUAUGAUUAAAUCCUCUUAUUAUUAAAAGAGAAGUACAAAUUGAAUUUUUGUCUAAUUUGACCUCAAUUUUGAUUUCAAUUUUGGAUUUUCUUCUUUGCUAUUCAAAAUCAUUAAGGGUAAUUUGGUCUUAACAAUCUAUUAAACUUUAUAUGAUCCGAUUCAAUCUAAACCGUUCAAUAAAAUUAAUUCCCUUCAAUCUAAACCGUUCAACAAAAAUAAGUAAAUAACAA
rnacentral:sRNA from 1 species